rnacentral:rRNA from 1 species
UACGGGGGGGGCAAGCGUUGUUCGGAAUUACUGGGCGUAAAGGGCUCGUAGGUGGCCAACUAAGUCAGACGUGAAAUCCCUCAGCUUAACUGGGGAACUGCGUCUGAUACUGGAUGGCUUGAGUGCAGGAGAGGAACGCGGAAUUCCAGGUGUAGCGGUGAAAUGCGUAGAUAUCUGGAGGAACACCGGUGGCGAAGGCGGCGUUCUGGACUGCAACUGACACUGAGAAACGAAAGCCAGGGUAGCAAACGGG